rnacentral:lncRNA from 1 species
CCCAACUUGACUCUCACUGGGAUUAAACAUGACAAUAGGUCUGAUCUGAUUUCAUCAUCAUUUAAAAAAAAAUCAUCUAUUAUUUUUCACUUUAUGUUUCUGUGUGGGAGCAAACUGUUGAAAUCCUUACUUAAGGUAUACUAAGCUGAUCUUCUGUAUAUUAAGAUAAUCGAAAAUGAAUCUUGAUUUGAAUGGAAGGGGAGAGGGAGUGGGAAAGGGGAGGGUUGUGGGUGGGAGGGACGGUAUGGGGGGGGAAGCCAUUGUAACCCAUGAGUCGUACUUUGGAAAUUUAUAUUCAUUAAAUAAAAGAUAAAAAAAAAAAAAAGAUUCAGUGUCUUGGAGCCAUGGUUGUAGGGGAGAAGGUAAAGCUGCUGCCUGCAAUGCUAGCUAGCAUCCCUACAUGAGCUUGUCUGCGUCCUUGCUGCUCCACUUUUGACCCAGCUCCCUAUACUGGCCUGGGAAAGCAGUGGAAGAUGGCCCAAGUGCUUGGGCUCUUGCCACCCAUGAGGGAGACCUGGAUGAAGCUCCCAGCUCCUGACCUUGGUUUGGCUUAGCCAUUGCCACCACAUGGAGAGUGAACUAGCAGAUGGACCAUCUCUCUCUCUCUCUCUCUGUCUCUCUCCCUCCCUCUAACCUUUUCCAAUAAAUAAACAUAUUUACAAAAAAAGAUUCAUUCACUGUCUCAGGCUGAGUGCCUAGAGGGCACAGCUGGGUGUCCCUCUAAUGUUCUUCUCCUGCCCUGGGAUCCGGCCCAGGACACACAUUGUGUUGGAUCACCAUGUCCCCCUGGUAUCCUCAGGACAGAGUCUGACACAGAAAUCCAAUUUUUCUCCACAGCUAACACCACCAGCAUGGGGGAAGCUGUGCCUGCCUCUCAGUUAUGUUGCAACCACUUACUGAGUUCCUACUAUAUGAGACAAGAUUUGAUGAGAUCCUUGCCCUGGAGAAGUGGGCCAGCUGGGGAUGGAUACAGGUUGCGUGGGCCACAGACCCAAUUAAUUUUUGGCAAAUUCAACACCUUUGUUGGAGUUGGAGUCAUGCG